GGCGAACGGUUGAGUAACACGUAGACACCUGGCCUCCGAGCGGGGGAUAACUGCCGAGGAAACUGCAGCUAAUACCGCAUGUGGUGGGAAGGGGGCAUCCCUUUCUUGCUAAACGAGCAAUCGGUUCGGAGAUGGGUCUUGCGGCCUAUCAGGCUAGCUUGGUGGGGUAACGGGCUACCAAGGCGACGGACGGGUAGCUGGUCUGAGAGGAUGACCAGUCCUAGACGGGGACUGAGACACGGUUCCCGACUCAUUCGGGAUGGGCAGCAAUAAGGAAUAUUGCGCAAUGGGCGAAAUGCCUGACGCAGCGACGCCGCUGUGGGUGAGGAAGUUCUUCGGAAUGUAAAGCCCUUUUGUGGGGGACGAUCCCAGACGGUACCCCACGAAUAAGCCCCGGCUAACUACGUGCCAGCCGCCGCGG
rnacentral:rRNA from 1 species